GGUUACCUGCGGCGUUCGAUGACGGGCAUUUUGCAUUCUUGACCCUACAAUCAUGCGCCUCAGGGGAGACGUUGGUAGUGGUGCUGGUGUGCACGUCCGCCUCUGGCGGAAAGCCUAAGGCAUCACUCGCCCUCCCCGACCUGAACCAGAGGGUUCAAGGGCGUUGUCCGAACGGCGCUGUGGGUAACCG
rfam:Spiribacter salinus M19-40, complete genome.